AUUAGCAGGGAAGUGGGUAAAGGUCAUUUGAUCACAGCUUGGCUGCGCUCUGAAUUAACCUGCAUAACAGAGACUUGUUGAGUUUGCAGCUCUUUAAGUCGCAUAUUAACACCAGGAGGAAGGCAAGGAGACACCCUGAAAGAAGGUCAAUUUGUGGCUGCUCAAAUCAGCAGGGCUCCUGGAGAAACUUGGCUGGAGAAAUCAGCUCUGGGGCCUUGGGGUGGGGAGCAAGUGAGGAAAGUCCAGUCUAUGGAGGAGAGGAGGCCCGGGUGCUUCUUGGGGGCAGCUUCUGCUGUCUGGCUAACCUGUGAGGACCCUGAAAGUGCAGCUGGGAGGGACUUCCUCCAGAGCUGGAGCUACAACAUAAAGAGAAUUAAAGAGAGAUACAAGGAUCAACACUGCUGUGGACUUGGCGAAUAUGAAUUUGGAGAGGGGCCCAAGAUGACUAGGAAGCAGUGGCUGAGGGCACAGCUGAUGAAGCCGGGUGCAGAGUCAGGGAAGGACACACAGCACAACACGGAUAGUUAGUGCAGCUUACCCUCCUGAGGGCUGCUGUGUGCAGACUCUGCCCUCAGCUCUUCCCUGCAUUUUCUCAUUUGAUCUGCACACAUCCAAGGAGGAAACAUGAACUCUCUGGUUCGGGUCACUCCGCUUCAAGGUGCUGCGCUUGUCUGUGGGAAGUGUUAAGAAUAACAAGAUAGGGGAGACAAGUCUUUGCCCCCAGGGAGCUUGUAGUGUGGUCAGACUGAAAUAAAGUUGCCUACUUUCUGUAAAACACCACCAAGUGUGAGCACUAUUGAAAAUUAGGUGCAAACCCAAAGGCUGGAUUAUGGGCACAAAACAGUAUCACUGUCCUGCCUUAUUUAAUUAUGCUUUCCCUUCUUUGCUAACAUCAAAUUAAAAAAUCCUUGCCAUGGUAGUCUAGCAACAUUGUUAUAUUGUCAUUCUGCAAAUUAUGUGGAAAGAAUGAAUUGUUUUGAGGGUAAGCUUCAAGUAAAUUUAUGAGCUUAUGAACAAAUUGCCCAUUAUUGCUUUCAAAAAAAUUUAAAUACUGAGUCAAUUGACUAAUUUCCAACCUUCAAAAAAGAAUACCAUCUCAUGCAUUUCUGGAGCUUAAGGCUUAUAAAUCUUGCUGCCAUGAGCAUUCCCUCUGAGUGCUUAUAACCACGGUGCUGUGAAGGUGGGAAGGUAGGAAUAUGCUCAGCCUCUGAGUAGAGAUGUGGACAGAAGCUUGCAAGGUUCAGUGUCUUGCCUACGUUCAUGCACUAGGGGAACUGGUAAGGUUUUGGAACCCAGGACCCUUGACUUCAAAUCCACUGUUCUUUUUGCUACAUUACUCUGUAGUCGUCAACUAGUUAUGCACCAUUUAACUAACAUUUAAUUAACCGAAAGUGGAAACAGAUAACCUUGAAAUUAAUUCAAGUUAAUGUUAAAUGUUGCUAACUUUUUAUUAGUGGAAUGUUACCAUUAACUUUUCCAAUGGCUGCUUUUUUGUACCCCUUCACAGCAGUGAACAAAAUUGAGUAAGUGCUCAAUAAGUAUUUAUCGAAUAAACAAAUAGCUUAACGGGCCCGGUUUGGCUGCAGGGUGAGGUUAGAAGGUUGAAUCACUGAAGACAAAGUUGAGCAUUUAAUUCACUCUUUCAUUUGUCAAGUAUUUAUUAAGUCUCUAUGUACUGCACUCCAUAGAGUAGACUGAUGCAUACAUG